UAAAACGUAGGAGACGAGCGUUAUCCGGAUUUACUGGGCGUAAAGCGCGUGCAGGCGGCAUGGCAAGUUGGAUGUGAAAGCUCCCGGCUUAACUGGGAGAGGUCGUUCAAUACUGCCAGGCUUGAGAGUGGUAGAGGGAAGCGGAAUUCCGGGUGUAGUGGUGAAAUGCGUAGAUAUCCGGAGGAACACCAGUGGCGAAAGCGGCUUCCUGGCCCAUUUCUGACGCUCAGACGCGAAAGCUAGGGUAGCAAACGGGAUUAGAGACCCCGGUAGUCCUAGCCGUAAACGAUGUGAACUUGGCGUUGGCGGGUUUAAAUCCGUCAGUGCCGUAGCUAACGCGAUAAGUUCACCGCCUGGGGACUACGGCCGCAAGGUUAAAACUCAAAUGAAUUGACGG
rnacentral:rRNA from 1 species